AUGUGGGCUUAUGGCAAGCCAGAAACAUGGCAGAAGGAUAUGGCAGUUGAAAACUGCUUGCCUCAUAGAGCCAAGAACCAGAGAGAGGGGAAAAGCUAUAAAGGACGGGGCUGGGGACCAGACGUGGUUCCCAAGCCUGUGCUGACUCCGCUGCCCUCUGCAUCUGCCUCCCUGGGACAGACACUAAAACUCACCUGUACCCUGAGCAGUGGCUACAGUAAUUACUAUGUGGACUGGUUCCAGCAGAGCCAGGGGAAGGGCCCUCGGUUUGUGAUGUCAGUGGGUACUAGUGAUAUUGUGGGAUCCAAGGGGAAUGAAAUUUCCAACCGAUUCUCAGUCUCAGGCUCUGGCUUGGAUCAGUACCUGACCAUCCAGAACGUUCAAGAAGAAGAUGAGAAUGUCUACUACUGUGGGGCAGACCACGGCAGUGGCCGUAGCUUUGUAUAA